rnacentral:rRNA from 1 species
UGAGGAAUUUUGCGCAAUGGGGGAAACCCUGACGCAGCAACGCCGCGUGAGUGAUGAAGGCUUUCGGGUCGUAAAACUCUGUCAAGUGGGAAGAACCCACAUAGUGUUAAUAACACUUUGUGUUGACGGUACC